GACAAAGGUGGCGAGCGUUGUUCGGAAUCACUGGGCUUAAAGCGUGUGUAGGCGGGCGAUCAAGUACCUUGUGAAAUCCCACGGCUCAACCGUGGAACCGCUGGGUAUACUGGUUGUCUUGAGCCGGCUAGGGGCGAGCGGAACAGACGGUGGAGCGGUGAAAUGCGUAGAUAUCGUCUGGAACGCCGAAGGUGAAAACAGCUCGCUGGGGCCGCGCUGACGCUGAGACACGAAAGCCAGGGGAGCGAACGGG
rnacentral:rRNA from 1 species